rnacentral:rRNA from 1 species
CGGAUUCACUGGGCGUAAAGGGUGCGCAGGUGGGUUGGCAAGUUCGAUGUGAAAGCCCCGGGCUUAACCCGGGAAUGGCAUUGGAAACUGCUGAUCUGGAGGAUCGGAGGGGGGACUGGAAUUCUUGGUGUAGCAGUGAAAUGCGUAGAUAUCAAGAGGAACACCAGUGGCGAAGGCGAGUCCCUGGACGAUACCUGACACUGAGGCACGAAAGCCAAGGGAGCAAACAGG